UAUUUAUUGCCUUAUCCUGGAGGGAAGGAU
rnacentral:piRNA from 1 species